CCGGCGGACACACCCUCUUGUUUAUCAUUCGUAAAACAAAGAUGAAUUUAUGAUAUCUGUUAUAUUUGUAGAAGACAUAAUUUCAAUAAAUAAUAUAAUAUUUUGCUUUCAUUUAAAAAAAAUGUUUAUAAUUUUCUUUCUCUCUGUGAUAAAAUGUGAACAAUUUAUUACCAAUAUCUUUGUCUAGAUAGCAUAGAUAAC
rnacentral:lncRNA from 1 species